CCUACGGGGGGCUGCAGUGAGGAAUAUUGGUCAAUGGGCGCGAGACUGAACCAGCCAAGUAGCGUGAAGGAUGACUGCCCUACGGGUUGUAAACUUCUUUUAUAAAGGAAUAAAGUGAGGCACGUGUGCCUUUUUGUAUGUACUUUAUGAAUAAGGAUCGGCUAAUUCCGUGCCAGCAGCCGCGGUAAUACGGAGGAUCCGAGCGUUAUCCGGAUUUAUUGGGUUUAAAGGGAGCGUAGAUGGGUUGUUAAGUCAGUUGUGAAAGUUUGCGGCUCAACCGUAAAAUUGCAAUUGAUACUGGCAGUCUUGAGUACAGUUGAGGUAGGCGGAAUUCGUGGUGUAGCGGUGAAAUGCUUAGAUAUCACGAAGAACUCCGAUUGCGAAGGCAGCUUACUAAACUGCCACUGACAUUGAUGCUCGAAGGUGUGGGUAUCAAACAGGAUUAGAUACCCUUGUAGUC
rnacentral:rRNA from 1 species